GCAGGCUUAACACAUGCAAGUCGAGCGGGGAAAAGUAGCUUGCUACUUUACCUAGCGGCGGACGGGUGAGUAAUGCUUAGGAAUCUGCCUAUUAGUGGGGGACAACAUUUCGAAAGGAAUGCUAAUACCGCAUACGUCCUACGGGAGAAAGCAGGGGACCUUCGGGCCUUGCGCUAAUAGAUGAGCCUAAGUCGGAUUAGCUAGUUGGUGGGGUAAAGGCCUACCAAGGCGACGAUCUGUAGCGGGUCUGAGAGGAUGAUCCGCCACACUGGGACUGAGACACGGCCCAGACUCCUACGGGAGGCAGCAGUGGGGAAUAUUGGACAAUGGGGGCAACCCUGAUCCAGCCAUGCCGCGUGUGUGAAGAAGGCCUUUUGGUUGUAAAGCACUUUAAGCGAGGAGGAGGCUCCCAGUAUUAAUACUACUGGAGAGUGGACGUUACUCGCAGAAUAAGCACCGGCUAACUCUGUGCCAGCAGCCGCGGUAAUACAGAGGGUGCAAGCGUUAAUCGGAUUUACUGGGCGUAAAGCGUGCGUAGGUGGCCAAUUAAGUCAAAUGUGAAAUCCCCGAGCUUAACUUGGGAAUUGCAUUCGAUACUGGUUGGCUAGAGUAUGGGAGAGGAUGGUAGAAUUCCAGGUGUAGCGGUGAAAUGCGUAGAGAUCUGGAGGAAUACCGAUGGCGAAGGCAGCCAUCUGGCCU
rnacentral:rRNA from 1 species